rnacentral:rRNA from 1 species
GACAGAGGGUGCAAUCGUUGUUCGGAUUUACUGGGCGUAAAGCGCGUGUAGGCGGCUUGGCAAGUUGGAUGUGAAAGCCCACGGCUCAACCGUGGAAGCGCAUCCAAAACUGCUCCGCUAGAGUCUCGUAGAGGAAGGUGGAAUGCUUGGUGUAGAGGUGAAAUUCGUAGAUAUCAAGCAGAACACCUGCGGCGAAGGCGGCCUUCUGGACGAUGACUGACGCUGAGACACGAAAGCGUGGGGAGCAAACAGG